rnacentral:rRNA from 1 species
UACAGAGGUCUCAAGCGUUGUUCGGAUUCAUUGGGCGUAAAGGGUGCGUAGGUGGGUUGGUAAGUCCGUGGUGAAAUCUCCGAGCUUAACUCGGAAACUGCCGUGGAUACUAUCAAUCUUGAAUACUGUGGAGGUAAGCGGAAUAUGUCAUGUAGCGGUGAAAUGCUUAGAUAUGACAUAGAACACCGAUAGCGAAGGCAGCUUGCUACACAGUCAUUGACACUGAGGCACGAAAGCGUGGGGAGCAAACAGG